UGGGCGAUAAUUAAACGGUAUAAUAUUUGACUUUGACUCAAAUUUUCUAGGUUCGAUUCCUAGUCGCUCUGCCA
rnacentral:tRNA from 1 species